CAGUAGCCACGGUAAUACAGAGGGUGCGAGCGUUAAUCGGAUUUACUGGGCGUAAAGCGUGCGUAGGCGGAUUUUUAAGUCGGAUGUGAAAUCCCUGAGCUUAACUUAGGAAUUGCAUUCGAUACUGGGAAGCUAGAGUAUGGGAGAGGAUGGUAGAAUUCCAGGUGUAGCGGUGAAAUGCGUAGAGAUCUGGAGGAAUACCGAUGGCGAAGGCAGCCAUCUGGCCUAAUACUGACGCUGAGGUACGAAAGCAUGGGGAGCAAACAGGAUUAGAGACCCCUGUAGUCCCUGUCUCUUAUAC
rnacentral:rRNA from 1 species